rnacentral:rRNA from 1 species
UACGUAGGGUGCGAGCGUUAAUCGGAAUUACUGGGCGUAAAGCGUGCGCAGGCGGUUCGUUGUGUGUGUGGUGAAAGCCCCGGGCUUAACCUGGGAAUGGCCAUGGAAACUGGCGAGCUGGAGUGUGGCAGAGGGGGGUGGAAUUCCGCGUGUAGCAGUGAAAUGCGUAGAGAUGCGGAGGAACACCGAUGGCGAAGGCAGCCCCCUGGGUUGAUACUGACGCUCAGGCACGAAAGCGUGGGGAGCAAACAGG